AGACUUCAGUCAGUGACUACAGAGUCAAUCUAUAGACAUGUUUUCUAGACUGAGGAGUCUACUUGGGAGAAAAAAAAUGGGAGCAUGGUGAGACCAGAGAAAGGCAGAAGGAAGCUGUCCUUCCAUCUGAGAGUCAUUCAGGAAGAAAGAAACGGUCCUGAAGACAUAGUCCUGGGAAGGGGGUGCCAAGCUUCCUGGAGGAGGUGACUUGAAGUGGGUUCAAAUAAUGUCACACUGGAACUGGAGCCUCUGGGUUGCAAAUGGACAUUGCACAUGGAAAGAAUGGAGGAAAUGUUGCAGUAUGUGGUGAAACUGAAGAUGGCCAUCAAGCAAAAGGAGUUAGCAUAGAAGCUGCAGCAUCACUUUGAGGACCUUCAGGUGA
rnacentral:lncRNA from 1 species